GCAGAACAGAGCAGCGUUCGUGCGAAGGCAAGUCAUUUCCCGAAACACCGCAGACACACGGCCUCGGGCAGCCUAAAACCUUUGGAGACCAAAAUGGCUCGCAGGGGUUGGAAGUAAUAAGCAGCUCCGUGGUGUGGUGCAGGGCUGGCUUACUGAAGUGUGUGCGCCCGAGUCGCUUUUGAGCAGAGCUCUGUGCCAUUCCCGGACGUCGGCAGAAUUCGCCAGGAAGGAACAUGACCUAUUUCCCUACUGGAAAGUCUAAGAGGAUCCUUGGAGACGACUUUCACAACUAGGAGCAGCAGAAUCGGCUUCCAUCCAACAAAUGACCCAGCAGCAGUGGGCCAGCCGCCACCGAAAUGACAUCUGUUAACUCUUUGUCAAAUGCCCGCUCCUUCUCUCUUUUUCUUCCAAACAGCUCUGUGGUUAAUUAUGACCUGCACGUCUGACACAGUCUUUCGAGUAGAGAGACCUGCUUAGGGGCAGAGAGAAAUCUGGCUCCAGGAAAUUCCCUUCUCUCUCCUUUAAAAAAAAAAAAAAAGAAAAGCCAUAGCAAAUUGUUUUAAAAUAAACAUU